UUUUCUGUUUUUGUCUCAUUUCAAACAUGCACCUGUUUGAUUCUAAGUUCCAAAUGCAGGUGGUAAAAUAUUCCAACAUUCAUCACCAAAUGACUGGCCUCGAUAUCCUUGACAAAUGGAACCACUAAGUCUUAUAGGAUCCCAAGAUGAGAAUCCUGGAUCUCACAAGGUCUGUUGUUACAACACUGGGUAAACCCUUCUGCUUAAUUUAAACCCAGCAACACAGAAGAGAAGAGAUUUAUCCCAUACAGCAAUCUGCAAAAAUCGAGUGGCCAAGGACUAUUUAAAAGUGAAGGGCUCCCCCCACUGACUUGGUAUCAGGUUCAGAGGCCUGGAUUCAAGACAACCUGCUCCAGAGAUGCAAACUAAUACCUUUGAACAGGUCGAUCAGAAAAUUUCUAACAUCUGGUAAGGGAAAGAACACACCACAAAAGAUACAUCCUUAUGGCCAGCUGAACUUGAAAA